CUCUGUGAUCGGAAUUCAGUGGACACCAUAGAAGCUCGAGGACAAUCUGUGGACGUCCUAGGAAGGCCUUCAUUAAAAAAUUUCGCUGUCACACCGAGAUGAAGCUGGGCUACAGGCGUGCGACCUGUUUCGCAUCGCUUGCUCUUCCAGGUUCUGUU